AUGGGGUAUCACUUGUUUUUAUUGAUCUUAAGUAUUCUGACUGGUAUGAGAUGGAAUCUCAAAGUAGUUUAGGUUUGCAUUUCUUUCAUGACUAAAGCUGUUGAACAUUUCUCUUAGUGCUUCUCAGUCAUUCAACUUUCUUCUUUUGAUAAUUCUUUGUUAAGAUAUAUACCUCAUAUUUAGUCAGCUUAUUUGUAUUGAUAUCUAGGAUUUUUUGUUCUUUAUAUAUUUUGAAUAUUAGGUAGUUGGUAAAAAUAUUUCUCCACUUUGUAGGUUGUUACUUUGUGCAAACGACAGUGUCCUUGGACAUGCAGAAGUACUUCAGGUUUUAUUUAUUGCUGAUCCUAGCAUAUAGGCUAAUGGUGUUUUGUUCUAUUUAUCAACACGUUUAUUUUUGUGCUAGUAUCAUGCUGUUUUCUUACAUCUAGGUAGUACAACUUGAACUUCGGUAUGGUGAUUUUUCAAGUAGUUCUUUUUUAUUAUUAUUCAGGAUUGUUUCAGCUAUUAUGAGUAUGUAUUAUGUUUAGAUAUGAAGCUGUCAUCAAUAGUAUUAUUUGGGGGAGAAUUUUUGACAUCUUACAGAUAAAAUUCUGUAACUGAAUACUACCUGACACUGGGUAUCUAUUUUUUCUGAAUGAAAACGUCUUUAUCUUCCUUCAGCUACUGAACUGUUAUGUAAGAGCAGCCGUAGUAAAGAAGAAGGAAUUAUUUCUGGCUUUUCCAGGACCCUCCUGUCUAUGAUCACAUAUCGAUCAUUGAAAAAGUGAAAAAUUUUAUACAUAAAUUCACUGUGAUGACUGUGUUGGCCAGAUCAUAAUGCAGAAUCUAUUCUUUCAUAAAUGUAUGGACUUGAGAUUAUUCUAUAAUGAAAUAGUCAUUAUUUUAGGAAUUCUGGGUAUAAUAAAUCAUAAGUCUUGAAGGAAACAGUUGGGAUAGCUUUCAGAACAAUGUUAUUACACCCCAAGAAAAGCAAGGAAAUUUUGUUCUCUGAGAUUUUAGAUUAAACUUUAUGGACUUGCUAGUUUUAUGUGUCAACUUGACACAAAAUGGAGUUAUCACAGAGAAAGGAGCCUCCCUUGAGGAAAUGCCUCCCUGAUAUCCAGCUGUAAGGCAUUUUCUCAACUAGUGAUCAAGGGUGGGCGGGCCCAUUGUGGGUGGUGCCAUUCCUAUGCUAGUAGCCCUAUAAGGAAGCAAGCUGAGCAAGCCAGGGGAAGCAAUGCCACAAGCAGCACUCCAUCCAUGCCCUCUGCAUCAGCUCCUGCCUCCAAGUUCCUGCUCAGUGUGAGUACCUGUCCUGACUUCCUUUGCUGAUAAACAGCAAUGUGGAAAUAAAAGCUGAAUAAAACCUUUCAUUCUCCACAUUUUUGGUCAUGAUGUUGAAUACAGGAACACAAACCCUGACUAAGACACUUUAUAGUUAAUUAAAGAAAAAUGUAGCUGGGUAUGGUGGUAUUUGCCUCUAACUCACCAUUUGUGAGAUUGGACAAUAGAGGAAAUUCUAGGUCAUUUAGAGCUACACAGGAAAACUCUGCUUAAAACCAAAU
rnacentral:lncRNA from 1 species